AACGAACGCUGGCGGCAGGCCUAACACAUGCAAGUCGAACGUGAAGCCACCUUCGGGUGGUGGAAAGUGGCAGACGGGUGAGUAACGCGUGGGAACGUGCCUUUCGGUUCGGGAUAACCCAGGGAAACUUGGGCUAAUACCGGAUACGCCCUUCGGGGGAAAGAUUCAUUGCCGAAAGAUCGGCCCGCGUCGGAUUAGCUAGUUGGUGGGGUAAUGGCCUACCAAGGCGACGAUCCGUAGCUGGUCUGAGAGGAUGAUCAGCCACACUGGGACUGAGACACGGCCCAGACUCCUACGGGAGGAAGCAGUGGGGAAUAUUGGACAAUGGGCGCAAGCCUGAUCCAGCCAUGCCGCGUGGGUGAAGAAGGCCCUAGGGUUGUAAACCCCUUUCAGCGGGGAAGAUAAUGACGGUACCCGCAGAAGAAGCCCCGGCUAACUCCGUGCCAGCCGCCGCCGUAA
rnacentral:rRNA from 1 species